rnacentral:tRNA from 1 species
GGGGUUGUAGCUCAAUGGUAGAGCACAUGCUUAUCAUGUGUGGGGCCCUGGGUUUUGAUACUCAGCACCACA